GACGAACCGUCCUAACGUUGUUCGGAAUCACUGGGCUUAAAGGGCGCGUAGGCGGGCGAGCAAGUCCGGGGUGAAAUCUUUCGGCUUAACCGGAAAAGUGCCUUGGAUACUGCUCGUCUCGAGGGAGGUAGGGGCAUGUGGAACUUCCGGUGGAGCGGUGAAAUGCGUUGAUAUCGGAAGGAACGCCGGUGGCGAAAGCGGUGUGCUGGAUCCUUUCUGACGCUGAGGCGCGAAAGCUAGGGGAGCAAACGGGG
rnacentral:rRNA from 1 species